rnacentral:rRNA from 1 species
UACGUAGGGUGCAAGCGUUGCCCGGAUUUAUUGGGCGUAAAGGGCGCGUAGGCGGCUCGGCACGUCCGUUGUGAAAUCGCCCGGCUCAACUGGGCGGGGUCAGCGGAUACGGUCGAGCUUGAGCAAGCUAGGGGGCAAUGGAAUUCCCGGUGUAGUGGUGGAAUGCGUAGAUAUCGGGAGGAAUACCAGUGGCGAAGGCGGCCUUCUGGACGGAUACUGACGCUGAGGCGCGAAAGCCAGGGGAGCAAACGGG